rnacentral:lncRNA from 1 species
UUGAACGAGGAAUCAGGCUGAGGGUCAAUCUUGUAAUUUCAUAUCUCUUUUACCUUAAAACCCAAAGAAAUUUUUUUUGAGCCGAUAGGCACGAGGCACGCAGCCCACGGGCCAUUACACAACUAGUUUUGGGUAUAAGGGUCAACCACUGGUCAACGUGAUCGUUCGCCAACAGUAACCUUAUCUCUUUCCAAAAAAAUGGAAACUGUCAAGCGAUAACUUUGGGCAUUUUAAAAAUGGAAUAUUCCGGUUAAUCUCACCCCUGUUUUAACUGUGCGGCGAUUAUAAAUAAUAGAGGAAAUUAUCCCUUCCGUUUCACCUGAGCCAUUUGCCCUUUCAUCUUCUACACUAUAGCCCUAGCGCCACCGCUUGCAAUCCUUGAGCUCGGGUGCCACCCUCCCCCACCG